rnacentral:rRNA from 1 species
UACAGGGGGGGCAAGCGUUGUUCGGAUUCAUUGGGCGUAAAGGGUGCGUAGGCGGCGCGGUAAGUCGGGUGUGAAAUCUUGGAGCUUAACUCCGAAACUGCAUUCGAUACUGCCGUGCUUGAGGACUGGAGAGGAGACUGGAAUUUACGGUGUAGCGGUGAAAUGCGUAGAUAUCGUAAGGAAGACCAGUGGCGAAGGCGGGUCUCUGGACAGUUCCUGACGCUGAGGCACGAAGGCCAGGGGAGCAAACGGG